rnacentral:sRNA from 1 species
CGGCUGUUGCUGCUGCUGCUGCUGCUGCUGCUGCUGCUGUUCCAUCUGCACCAGUUGGAUCUGCUGCUGUUCCAGUGCCUGCUGCUG